rnacentral:tRNA from 1 species
GUGAGUAUUGCUCAGUGGUAGAGUGCAUGCUUAGCAUGCAUGAGGUCCUGGGUUCAAUCCCCAGUACCUCCA